CUGGUUCCUAUACAAUCACUGAAGUUAAGCAAUGUUGAGCCUGGUCAGUACCUAGAUGAGUGAACAAUUGGGAAAAUCAGGUGCUGUAAG